rnacentral:misc_RNA from 1 species
GAUGAAGAACGUAGCGAAAUGCGAUAAGUAGUGUGAAUUGCAGAAUUCAGUGAAUCAUCGAAUCUUUGAACGCACAUUGCGCCCCUUGGUAUUCCAUGGGGCAUGCCUGUUCGAGCGUCAUUUGUACCUUCAAGCUCUGCUUGGUGUUGGGUGUUUGUCUCGCCUCUGCGUGUAGACUCGCCUCAAAACAAUUGGCAGCCGGCGUAUUGAUUUCGGAGCGCAGUACAUCUCGCGCUUUGCACUCAUAACGACCACGUCCAAAAGUACAUUUUUACACUCUUGACCUCGGAUCAGGUAGGGAUACCCGCUGAACUUAAGCAUAUCAAUAAGCGGAGGA